rnacentral:rRNA from 1 species
UACGUAGGCAGCAAGCGUUGUUCGGAGUUACUGGGCGUAAAGGGUGUGUAGGCGGUUCUUUAAGUUUGGUGUUAAAUCUCCCGGCUCAACUGGGAGGGUGCGCCGAAUACUGAGGGACUAGAGUACGGGAGAGGAAAGUGGAAUUCCUGGUGUAGCGGUGAAAUGUGUAGAGAUCGGGAGGAACACCGGUGGCGAAGGCGGUCUUCUGGACGGUGACUGACGCUGAGGCGCGAAAGCGUGGGGAGCAAACGGG